UUGCAAUCAACACUUACCUGAAGAUGAAAUACUUGGCAUUGCUCAUUUUGGUUCUCAUUGGGCUCAGCUCUACUCUGGGCAUGAAAGUACUUCAACCUAAUUGUCUAUGGGAUGUACUCGGUCGAUGUAAAAAAAUUGUUUAUUCUACGACUUCUUUUAACCCUCUCGCUGUGGACAAUUAAACAAGGAUUGUUAACUGAAAAUAACAUAUUUUAAAUAAGAUUGAAAACUUGUUAUAAAUUAAACUUUCGACUGACAGUUCCUUUGACAGUAAUAUAAAAUAAUUUUCGGAUUUGCACAAAAUGGGCUCUGUAUGUAUAAAAUAGUUUGUUUGAUAAAUAUUUUAUUAAUUUGGUCGUGUUAAUAAUAAUAAACUACAUUCACAUUGUAAAAUAA